rnacentral:rRNA from 1 species
CUCCUACGGGAGGCAGCAGUCGGGAAUUUUGGGCAAUGGGCGAAAGCCUGACCCAGCAACGCCGCGUGAAGGAUGAAAUCCCUCGGGAUGUAAACUUCGCAAGAACGGGAAGAAUAAGCCUAUGUUAAUACCAUAGGCGAUGACGGUACCGUUUGUAAGCUCCGGCUAACUCCGUGCCAGCAGCCGCGGUAAUACGGGGGGAGCAAGCGUUGUUCGGAUUUACUGGGCGUAAAGGGCGCGUAGGCGGCCACCGCAAGUCAGUUGUGAAAUCUCCGAGCUUAACUCGGAAAGGUCAACUGAUACUGCGGGGCUAGAGUGCGGAAGGGGCAACUGGAAUUCUCGGUGUAGCGGUGAAAUGCGUAGAUAUCGAGAGGAACACCUGCGGCGAAGGC